rnacentral:rRNA from 1 species
CCUACGGGAGGCAGCAGUGAGGAAUAUUGGUCAAUGGCCGAGAGGCUGAACCAGCCAAGUCGCGUGGGGGAAGACGGCCCUACGGGUUGUAAACCUCUUUUGUCGGGGAGCAAAGCGAACCACGUGUGGUUCCUUGAGAGUACCCGCAGAAAAAGCAUCGGCUAACUCCGUGCCAGCAGCCGCGGUCAUACCGAGGAUGCGCGCGUUAUCCGGAUUUAUUGGGGUUAAAGGGUGGGCAGGCGGAGGUGCAAGUCAGCGGUCAAAUUGCGGGGCGCAACCCCGUACUGCCGUUGAAACUGCAUCCCUUGAGUGCGCGAGAAGUAUGCGGAAUGCGUGGUGUAGCGGUGAAAUGCAUAGAUAUCACGCAGAACUGCGAUUGCGAAGGCAGCAUACCGGCGCGCAACUGACGCUCAUGCACGAAAGCGUGGGUAUCGAACAGGAUUAGAUACCCCUGUAGUC